ACAGCACUUUUUCGUUUCUGGCGUGACCCAAGAAAGUUCAUCCAAUUAAAGCAGGAAAAUUUACGUGGGAAGCGCACAAGCAAGGUGGAGAACAAGCACAUUCGGAAAUCACCAGCAAAUCACAACAGCAAAACCGAAGCGCAGCUUGUUGGCAGACGCGCCAAAGGGUCGGCGCUAAAGUGAGGCAGGUCACGGAUCGUAGUGGCGAACGGAGGGCCUGGUACAAGGAGUACGGGGCGGUCGUAAGGAGAGACGUUGGAGUCGUGCGAGGUUCCCAGUGGAGCAGUCGACGGCGAAAAUCGAGACGGUGCGCGGCACGAAACCGUCCACGAGGCGCGGCCGUGAGAGGAUGGGGUUCCUACCGGAGAGCACGGUCGGAGCAGUCGCCGGAGGAGCUAGAGCUGGUUGUGGUCUGAGGCGAGCAAGCUCGGGAGCUAGGCUUGGAGCGUUUGAGGCGCUUUUAAGGAACGCUCCGCCGCAGAAAAGGGGAGUGAAAUCAGUCCAUCUGGUGGCCUCGUGGUGCCACAAAGAACCGUGCGGAGUUGGUGAGCGGAGGGUUCCGUUCCGAAUAAAGGCUUCGUUUGGCUAGCUAAGUGAAUAUUUUGUUGUGUGAACGGGUUGGCGAAAGCUUUCCCGUAAUAUUAUUCCUUUCCAGCUUCGAGCACGUGGAAGCGCUUCAACCAGCUCGUCGCGGAUGAAAGGGGUGAGUGAGUACUAGUAGUUUCACAUAGAGCCAAUAGAAGCGACACGGAACAUUCCGGUCGGUAAUCUACCGCAUCGUCCGAUUCCUGGCCGAAGGGGGCCCACCAAGUGAACGAUUGCCUCGAGGAUCUUGAGGAUCUAGAUAAAAUCUGUUUUGAGAGGACUAUGUUAGGCCUUCGCAGUUCGAGAGGCCGUGCACGCAUUCAUCCCUUGAUCUAAUUUAUGAUCUCUGAGGCAGGCAUCAGGGAGAGAGAGGGGGCCCUAUAUGACCCACCCAUUAGCCGACGAGACCUAGCUGGCAACCGCGUGCAACCCCUUCUCUCAGCCGGUGAUCCAAAGAUGCCACCUCACAAGGUUGAGUGUUCGUUACACAUAGUAGGAAUAUUUUUAAUUAGGUCAAAUUCUGCAAUAAAUUGAAAUAUUGAAAUAUGAAAUAUAUAAAUAUUUUUUUAUAUAUUUGUUUGAAAUAUUACAUUGAUGGCCGUUUCUCUUGCUAUUGUCGCUGCUACUGCUCCGUUGCCCUCGUGCCCUAGUCCGGCUGCCAGAAACCAGAAUAGUGGAUCCUCCCCGGCGUAUGCCUGCGCGGUGUGCCUAUUGGGAGCCAACUUGGAUUAGGUGCCGGCGACGGAGCAUCCAUCAACGGCGACGACGGAUCGUUGCAGCAGCAGCAGCGACAGAAGCGGCACGCCGACGGCGGAGCCGAGCGGAAACCCAGGAGGAGCAGCAAGGAUCCAAUGCGGAGUCCGUCGAGAACAGGGAGUAAGUUGUUUUUUUACAAAGAGGCCUCAAAGUAAAGGUUUUAUAAAGUUUGUAUGCUAUUUGAACUAUUUCUGGGCUCGGGCAAUCACGUCGAACAAUAAAUUCAGUGAAACAAAGCAAAGAUACCAAUAA